UACUGAGGUUGGCACCGUGUUUACACU
rnacentral:piRNA from 1 species